rnacentral:rRNA from 1 species
AGUGAACGCUGGCGGUAGGCCUAACACAUGCAGGUCGAACGGCAGCACAGUAAGAGCUUGCUCUUACGGGUGGCGAGUGGCGGACGGGUGGGGAAUACAUCGGAAUCUACUUUUUCGUGGGGGAUAACGUAGGGAAACUUACGCUAAUACCGCAUACGACCUACGGGUGAAAGCAGGGGAUCUUCGGACCUUGCGCGAUUGAAUGAGCCGAUGUCGGAUUAGCUAGUUGGCGGGGUAAAGGCCCACCAAGGCGACGAUCCGUAGCUGGUCUGAGAGGAUGAUCAGCCACACUGGAACUGAGACACGGUCCAGACUCCUACGGGAGGCAGCAGUGGGGAAUAUUGGACAAUGGGCGCAAGCCUGAUCCAGCCAUACCGCGUGGGUGAAGAAGGCCUUCGGGUUGUAAAGCCCUUUUGUUGGGAAAGAAAAGCAGCAGGUUAAUACCCCGCUGUUCUGACGGUACCCAAAGAAUAAGCACCGGCUAACUUCGUG